rnacentral:tRNA from 1 species
UCUAUCGGAGCCCUAGAAAACAAACUACUUAACUACUAACUCUAAUAGUUUAUAAAAACAUCGGUCUUGUAAACCAAAG